rnacentral:lncRNA from 1 species
AACAAUUCAAAUGAGAAAACUAACGGCCUUAUUUGUGUAAAAAAAUGAACGAAAAACAAAUAUGUAACACAUAAACAAACGACAACCACUGAAUUACAGGCUCCUGACUUGGGACAGGCACAUACAUAAAUAAUGUGGCGGGGUUAAACAUGAUAGCGGGAUCCCAACCCUCCCCCUAACCUGGGACAGUGGUAUAAUAGUACAACAUAAGAU